rnacentral:tRNA from 1 species
AGGGGUCUAGCUCAGUGGUAGAGUGUUUGCUUAGCAUGCACGAGGUCCUGGGUUCAAGGCCUAGUACUUCCA